rnacentral:misc_RNA from 1 species
UUAAGUUCAGCGGGUAUUCCUACCUGAUCCGAGGUCAACAUUCAGAAGUUGGGGUUUAACGGCGUGGCCGCGACGAUUACCAGUAACGAUGUGUAAAUUACUACGCUAUGGAAGCUCGACGUGACCGCCAAUGUAUUUGGGGAGUGUCAGACGACAGCUCCCAACACCAAGCUGGGCUUGAGGGUUGAAAUGACGCUCGA